rnacentral:misc_RNA from 1 species
GUGAAUCAUCAAAUUUUUGAACGCACAUUGCACUCUCUGGUAUUCCGGAGAGCAUGCCUGUUUGAGGGUCAGUAUAAAUAAAAAUCGGUGUGGUUGCUGCUUUUCGUGGUGACGCAGCGGAUUUGGGUCGGCUUGCCUUCGGUUAAGUGUCCUAAAAUUUUGCAUGAUUUUUUUCGAACGUAUUUAAAUGAUUUUACGUACGUUUGCCAUGUCUAACAAUACG